rnacentral:tRNA from 1 species
GUGAUGGUUCAGUGGUAGAAUUCUCGCCUUCCAUGCAGGAGACCCAGGUUUGAUUCCUGGCCAGUACA